UAUAAAUAGUUUGAAUUGCUGACAGUGUUUGGCUGUUGUGGGAGCAGAAACUGAAAUUGGGAGAUUCUUCAGUAGGAAGAUGGAGGAGGGAGUGGAAUCAUCGGCGGUUUCGGAUCUGGACGAAGACGAUUCUUCAUCGACGCUUCUCGAUCUCACGAGUUACCAACUCCACGACCUCGACUCGGUCGAGUUAUCACCCAACCUCACCGAGUUAGACCUCACCGCGAAUCGUUUGUCCACGUUGGACCCUCGCAUAGCGAACCUAUCCCAUCUCAAGAAGCUUUCGCUUCGUCAAAACCUCGUCACCGACGCUGCCGUUCAGCCCCUCUCUUCCUGGACCACCCUCUCCUCUCUCGAAGAGCUUGUGCUGCGGGAUAAUCAAUUAAGGAACGUUCCUGAUGUCAGCAUAUUCCAGAAGCUUCUGGUUUUUGAUGUUUCGUUCAACGAGAUCACUUCGCUACAUGGCUUGUCCAGGGUCUCCAACACUCUCAAGGAGCUCUACGUGUCCAAAAAUGAAGUUCCGAAGAUUGAGGAGAUUGAUCACUUCCAUCAACUGCAGAUUCUUGAACUUGGCUCCAAUAAAUUGCGGGUGAUGGAGAAUUUGCAGACUCUCGCUAAUUUGCAGGAGCUUUGGCUUGGACGGAAUCGGAUUAAGGUUGUGAAUCUUUGUGGUCUGAAAUGCAUCAAGAAGAUUAGUUUGCAAAGUAAUCGGCUCACUUCAAUGACGGGGUUUGAGGGUUGUAUAGCUCUAGAAGAACUAUACUUGAGCCAUAAUGGAAUCACAAAAAUGGAAGGCUUGUCAUCGUUAGUCAAUCUCCGGGUUUUAGAUGUUUCAUCAAAUAAGCUAACAUCUGUGGAUGACAUUCUGAACCUGAUGCAAUUAGAGGAUUUGUGGCUUAAUGACAACCAAAUAGCAUCCCUCGAAGGAAUUGCUCAGGCUGUUACUGGUUCAAGAGAGAAGCUUACCACUAUCUACCUAGAAAAUAACCCAUGUGCCAAGUCACCCAACUACACUGCAGUCCUGAGGGAAAUCUUCCCCAACAUCCAACAAAUUGAUUCUGAUGUAUUUUCUUAGAAGUUUCUUGGCUUCAGCUUUUCUGACAACCGUUGCUUUGAAGGUUUUUCUUUUCAAAUCCAUUUAUUCUGGUUUGAAAGAUAGAUGAUUUGGCUCGAUCCACCAAAUGAAGAUAUGCUUAUCAGCCGCUGGACAAUGUUGUGGCCUGACCAUUGGUUUCCAGGCGAAUGAAUAUGCUAAUUAUAUAUUUCUUGUUUUGCAGACCACAUUUCGGUUUAUUUAUGUAUUUUUGGCUACCAAUUUUGGAGUAAGCUUUCUUUCUGCUGCGUUAAUGAUAUUUCCAGCUACCCUUGUGGUGUACGGAGGAUGUAUAUUAAUGAUCGUCCAGAGAUUCGAUUAAAUUUUCUUUACUAAUUUCUUAUCCAUAACCGAGUAAAUAUUUAUUGUCUAUAAGAUUGUAACAUCCAUAUCAGCAGCUCUGCAAUUCUUCAAGAUUUACAGCCUCCAGUGUUGUUCUACUAGAUGGUGGUUAUAAUUCUAUUUUUUGGUCGGGUAAUGGCUACCAGAAUUCUGUUUAUAAGGGCUAUACAUGACAAAGAAAUGAAUAAACCGUCUACUUACUGCGUCUAAGGUUAUAGCUUUACCUCGUUAGUCUUUCAAAUUUUGUAUCAUUUCAAAAACUUUCUUGCAUUGCCUAUGAUCUGCAUUAUAAGAUUCCUUUGCUUUUUAUUACGAGGGUCGAAGCCCCCAAAAACAACGAAGAGAUUUGAACAUCAAAUUAAGUACCAUAUCAGAGAGAUCAUCUUAAGGCUGCACUGCCUACACAAGUUAAGGAAGCACUUACCAAUGAGAUGUAGCAUGGAGAAGCAAUUCUCUGGAUUAUUGGAUUGUUCGAUAAUCAUAUUAUUUGUUUGAUAAUCAUGUUAUUUUUGAAAGUAUUUAAAGAAAAUGUUCUUAAUAAGGAAACAUUAUCAUGUUAAAGAUUUCUUGAUUAGGAUUUCGCAUUUUACGGGAUUAAUAUUUCAUUAGGAUAUAUCUUAAUUUAUCAGAAAAUUAGAACAAAUUAGAAAUAUCGUCGGAGAGGGCCUUACCAGAGGAAAUGAUCAGAAUAGAGAAUUACUAAUUACAAAUACAUAUCCUCCUGGCGGGGUCAAUAAAGGUAUUAUGGCAGAGACUGCUGCACUAGGUGAACAAAUUGGAAAGCCGAAUAAUCUCACAAAUACAGUGUACAAGGCAUAAUAUCGAUUUCUUCUCUGGAGCUAUUCCUUGAUUCAGAGUAUUAUGCGUCACACCAUGUUUCAUUUAUUAGCAGUUAGACUUUCUUAGGCAAAUUGCAGUUCUUUUUAAGGAACUUAGCAGCAAUGUCAUCAUUCCGAUGACACAAAACUCGCAAAAGAGUGUUUGGUUCUCUUGGAUUCCAUUGACCAGAUGUUGGGGGCAAAGGAAACCGGGAUUUAGCUGAAGCACCAUACGUUUCCAGAAUAAGUUGACUGAGUAGCUCAAUCAAGUGCUCAGUAUCCACGCUGAACAGGGCAAGCACAGCUUUAACAGUUGUACAAUGUUUUUCUAUUAAAUCAGCAGGUAAACCAUCUCCAUUGGACCAAAACAAAUCAGUUAGAAGCUUCAAGUCCUCCUCUAUUAUAGCAUGAUCUUCAAGAGAGAAAGCACGUGCUGGACCUCCAGCUAACAAAACCAACAAGAACCCAUCAAAAGAAGCCUUCAUUAGCUCAGUAAUUACAUGUGUUAUGGCCCUGUUGUGGACUGUUGACACUAUAAUCUUCAAGCAUUGAUCAAGUUCCUUAAGAAAAGGCUGAAUCCUAGUCGAGGAAACUUCACCAACAUACAGGCCUUCCCAAAGAACAUGACAGAGAUCUUGGAAAAUCACUUUAUAUGCCAUAGCCUCAGAGAGUUGGUGGAUGCCCUCCACAGAAGCAGCUAUAGAAAGCUUGAACUUUAACCUUUCCUCUAUACCAUCCUCUUUAGUGGAUUUAGAACUACCAAUACGGGAAAGUGUCCUCUUUUCCAAAACCUUUAGUUCCAUGCCAAUGCGCAGCAUAGUAUUUAUGCGGACACAAAGUUGGGGUAAUCCAAAUGAGCUAUCCGCCUUUGUAGUUCCAACGCGGAACAUCCUUCUCUGAGUCACUUGUGACUUUUCUUUCUUUCUGAAUACACCAUUAAAUUUUGAUCCUGUGGAGCACCGAGUCAAAGCAGGCAUGAUUGGGAUGAAAGUGUUACGGUUCCCUGCAGUUCAUAGUAUCAAAAGAAAGCCUGGUCAUUAUGGAGACUAACUACUGAAUAACUCUUUUGGUAUAUCAAAUGUUAUGUUGUAAAUAUAUACCACAGCCAGAUUUGGCCUUCAAGAUGUAUUGUUGGAGUGAUUUGUCAAGACCAGACAUCAAUUCAGGAAGCAAAACUACAUGCAUGGGUAUAGGCAACAGAAAGAAUGCUUCUAGAGAGUCAUGUAUGAUUCGUAGAAUUUCAGCAGCAGAAGGAGCAAAACACACUUUAUUUGCAUGUGGAUUCCAUACCUGCAGAUAAAGGUAUGGUGAUGUGAGGUCAUCUAUCAAUGUAUCAUAAAUGAAAAAAAAUAAAAUUAUUUUGAUUAGAGCAAGUUGUAGGUGUCUAGUAGUAGUGUAUAAGAGCAUUAAGGAGCUUCAAAAUCAAGUUCGUAGAAGAAAGACACUUGAUAUCUCAAGCACCCCCAAAAAUGAAAAGAAGGAAAAAGAAAAGAUGCAUUUCCCUUUACAGUAAUGAUAAAAAAAGAAGAAGCU